GACGAACGCUGGCGGCGUGCUUAACACAUGCAAGUCGAACGGAAAGGCCCUGCUUUUGUGGGGUGCUCGAGUGGCGAACGGGUGGGUAACACGUGAGUAACCUGCCCUUGACUUUGGGAUAACUUCAGGAAACUGGGGCUAAUACCGGAUAGGAGCUCCUGCUGCAUGGUGGGGGUUGGAAAGUUUCGGCUGUUGGGGAUGGACUCGCGGCUUAUCAGCUUGUUGGUGGGGUAGUGGCUUACCAAGGCUUCGACGGGUAGCCUGCCUGAGAGGGUGACCGGCCACAUUGGGACUGAGAUACGGACCAGACUCCUACGGGAGGCAGCAGGGGGGAAUAUUGCACAAUGGGCGGAAGCCUGAUGCAGCAACGCCGCGUGCGGGAUGCCGGCCUUCGGGUUGUAAACCGCUUUCGCCUGUGACGAAGCGUGAGUGACGGUAAUGGGUAAAGAAGCACCGGCUAACUACGUG
rnacentral:rRNA from 1 species